GACGAACGCUGGCGGCGUGCCUAAUACAUGCAAGUCGAGCGAAGUUUUUCUGGUGCUUGCACCGGAAAAACUUAGCGGCGAACGGGUGAGUAACACGUAAAGAACCUGCCUUAUAGACUGGGACAACUAUUGGAAACGCUAGCUAAUACCGGAUAACAGCAUUACCUGCAUGGUUGAUGUUUGAAAGUUGGUUUUGCUAACACUAUGAGAUGGCUUUGCGGUGCAUUAGCUAGUUGGUGGGGUAAAGGCCUACCAAGGCGACGAUGCAUAGCCGACCUGAGAGGGGGAUCGGCCACACUGGGACUGAGACACGGCCCAGACUCCUACGGGAGGCAGCAGUAGGGAAUCGUCCGCAAUGGGCGAAAGCCUGACGGAGCAACGCCGCGUGAGUGAAGAAGGAGUUCGGUGCGGAAAGCUCUGUUGUUAGGGAAGAAUGAUUGUGUAGUAACUAUACACAGUAGAGACGGUACCUAACCAGAAAGCCACGGCUAACUACGUG
rnacentral:rRNA from 1 species